AGAGUUUGAUCAUGGCUCAGGAUGAACGCUAGCUACAGGCUUAACACAUGCAAGUCGAGGGGAAACGACAUCGAAAGCUUGCUUUUGAUGGUCGUCGACCGGCGCACGGGUGAGUAACGCGUAUCCAACCUGCCCAUCACUUGGGGAUAACCUUGACGAAAGUAAGACUAAUACCCAAUGAUAUCUCUAGAAGACAUCUGAAAGAGAUUAAAGAUUUAUCGGUGAUGGAGUGGGGAUGCGUCUGAUUAGCUUGUUGGCGGGGUAACGGCCCACCAAGGCAACGAUCAGUAGGGGUUCUGAGAGGAACGGUCCCCCACAUUGGAACUGAGACACGGUCCAAACCCCUACGGGAGGCAGCA
rnacentral:rRNA from 1 species